UUUGUGAUUGGAGAGGAGACAGGGAUGAGGCAGAGCAUGGGAUGGGGCUAUCAACAGAUGUAAGAUAGUUCCUUUUGGAUCUUUGAGCUGUAAUAAUAGUAGCAUAGCAAUCCUCUUGUGGAUUGUUGUUUGGAUACAAGAGAUGUUGAGUUGUGAGCUCUGAGAGAUGGCUGGUGUUGUUGUUGCUCCCUCCCCUGCACUGCCUCUUCCCUGGCUCCCCUGCACACCUCUCUCU
rnacentral:pre_miRNA from 1 species